ACAAUUCCGAAUUACUGCUGUGCAGGAACGCCGCCGCCGAUGCAGCCACAGAGGAGGAGGCAGCAGCGACCAGCCCCGAUCUGUAGAGAACCACUUCCUGAACGUCGGAAGAUUCGACUUUCCACGGGCCGUAGACACCUGGAUAGACGGCGUUUGAAUCGGGCUGUUCGCCGACGGCUUGGCAUUUGACGGAGAGCGAGGAGCGGCGGGUAUUGAUGGGAGGCGGAGUGGGGCGGAGGAGCAGAGAGUGAGGUGAGGGUUUUGGGUAGAGAUGAAGAAUGUUGCUGUUAGCUAUCAUGGUUUUGGGGAAUAUAGUUAACGGAUACGAACCACUCCUGCCCGCUAUUUUUGGUUUAGUUACGAAAACCAACUUCCCUUUUCUCUCUCUCAACUCUCAAUAAAUAAAAAUAAAUUAUUUUAUGUGAUGAUGGUUUAAGCUGGAGAGAUUUUGAUUUGAGGAAAUUGUCUUGGAGUUUUUCAACAUCUUGCGCUCAUCAAUUCCUCUAUUACUCUUGUCCUCUUGCCUUGAGCGGUAGUUAAACUGUGUAUCUCUUGAUUAAUAGUAAUACCAUAAACUGCAACAUUCUCUUUCAAUACUCAGUUCCAUUUUCUCCAUGCUUCAGGGAAGCUCUCAUCUUCAAUGCUACUCUAGCUCUCUCUCAUCGGGUGAUCAAGCAGCUCAUAUAUGUCGGUUUUUUCUUUAAAUCUUAUCCAUUCAAGAUCAUCAACACCUUCCCAAUCUCUAAAUGUGCUCUGUCUUCCUCAUUUUUGCCUUUUCCUCUUCCUACAUUAAAAGUGUCCUCCCCAACACAAAAUACAAAAAAAUAAAUUAAAAAAGACUCUAUCUAAACUUAAACACGGCACGAAAAGAGCACAAAAACUUGAGCUCGUGGCACGCACGUUCCUUUAAUCACACUUGUCCUCAAGCAUACACGCACAAUUUGUCCAAAAAAAUAAAAAUAAAGACUCAAGACAUCUAAAGUC
rnacentral:lncRNA from 1 species